rnacentral:misc_RNA from 1 species
AAGUCGUAACAAGGUUUCCGUAGGUGAACCUGCGGAAGGAUCAUUAACACGUUCUAACACGUAUUAACCAACUGUGCAACACACAUUCUCCCUCGAAAACACGCUGUGUCAACGAGGCAAAAUGAAGUCAUGGUUCUUGCAUCUCUCUUUGUGUCCUCAGUUUCGACUGUGUAUACAUGUAGAUGAUGUCAAUUGCUAUGCUCUAUUUUAUCACUUUUUUCACCCCUUGAUAUUACUACUUAGUUGACUUUUUUGAAUAGAGAUUUGUGUGAGUCGAUUUCGAUCUUCUCUUUUCUUUUCUCUUCUCAUUUACAUGUGUAAAUGUCAAAUACAACUCUUAGCAAUGGAUAUCUUGGUUCUC